rnacentral:lncRNA from 1 species
AAAAUUUGUUUAUUUGGAGCAAGGUUUUGUGUUGAAGCUUUGUAGGUGAAGCUUUGGUGUUGAAGCUUUGUAGGUGAAGCUUUGAUGGUGAAGCUUUGUAGAUGAAGCUUUGUAGAUGAAGCUUUCUAGGUGAAGCUUUGAUGGUGAAAGUAUGUAGAGGGAGCUUUCUAGGUGAAGCUUUUUUAGGUGAAGCUUUGUAGGUGAAGCUUUUUUAAGUGAAGCUUUUCGGGUGAAGUUUUUUUUUUGGUGAAGCUUUGUGGGUGAAGCUUUUUAGGUGAAGCUUUGUGGGUGAAGCUUUGGAGGUGAAGCUUUUCGGGUG